GCCAGCCUCCUACCUUGAUGUUCUGAUGAAUUGAGACCCCAGCUCAUCCAUCACUAGUAGAAACGGGGUUUUACCAUGUUAGCCAGGCUGGUCUCGAACUCCUGACCUCAGGUGAUCCAUCCACCUCGGCCUCUCAAAGUGCUGGGAUUACAGGCAUGAGCCACCGCACCCGGCGUCAAGGUCUUCUUAGUAUGGAGAUGGAUGUGCAUGGUUUGGUCAUGGUAGCCGAGCUGUCUGGGUCCCACCGGCAAGAGUAUCUCCAUCACGGGGUGGAAACAUCAGGAUGGCUGCUGGACCUUUGACCCAAUGAGACCUCUUGUUGAGAUUUGGAGCUUGCCCCAUUGCCUUCUGAUCUGCACAAUGGGGAGAACAUGCUGCUCAGGUUGGCCUUGGGAAUUUCAGUUCUUUCUUCAAUGAUUUCUCAGUGCAGUUCCAUAGCAUCUUUCCUCUCACGCAUGGAGACACAACAGACGGAAAGAAAUAUUUCUGAUCUGACCAUUUUGAUUCUCAUCACAGAUGAGUAACAGAUAUUCUGACAUCUACUCUGACUCUUGAACAUUGCAGGUUUGUUACUCACUGGUCACUUCCAGAGACCAGCAAGACAUAUAGACUUGGGCAGGUUACUUACCUUUUUGGAACCUUACUUUUCUCAUUUGUUAAAUGGAACUAAUAACUCUAACCACAGAGGCACAGAGGUAGGAGAAAACAUAGCCUCCUUGAAGA
rnacentral:lncRNA from 1 species